rnacentral:rRNA from 1 species
UUCCGGUUGAUCCUGCCGGACCUGACUGCUAUCGGAUUGAUACUAAGCCAUGCUAGUCUUUGUAGUAAUACAAGGCAUACGGCUCAGUAACGCGUAGUCAACCUACCCUAUGGACGGGGAUAAUCUCGGGAAACUGAGCAUAAUACCCGACAGACCACUUCUCCUGGAAUGGUUAGUGGUUAAAAUGAUUCGUCGCCAUAGGAUGGGACUGCGGCCUAUCAGCUUGUUGGUGAGGUAAUGGCCCACCAAGGCGAUUACAGGUACGGGCUCUGAGAGGAGAGGCCCGGAGAUGGGUACUGAGACAAGGACCCAGGCCCUAUGGGGCGCAGCAGGCGAGAAAACUUUGCAAUGUGCGAAAGCACGACAAGGUUAAUCCGAGUGAUUUCUGCUAAAGGAAUCUUUUGUUAGUUCUAAAAAUACUAGUGAAUAAGGGGUGGGCAAGUUCUGGUGUCAGCCGCCGCGGUAAAACCAGCACCUCAAGUGGUCAGGAGGAUUAUUGGGCCUAAAGCAUCCGUAGCCUGUUCUAUAAGUUUGCGGUUAAAUCUAUACGCUCAACGUAUAGGCUGCCGUAAAUACUGUAGAACUAGGGAGUGGGAGAGGUAGACGGUACUCGAUAGGAAGGGGUAAAAUCCUUUGAUCUAUUGAUGACCACCUGUGGCGAAGGCGGUCUACCAGAACACGUUCGACGGUGAGGGAUGAAAGCUGGGGGAGCAAACCGGAUUAGAUACCCGGGUAGUCCCAGCUGUAAACGAUGCAGACUCGAUGAUGCAAUGGCAUAGAGCUAUUGCAGUAUCGCAGGGAAGCCGUUAAGUCUGCCGCCUGGGAAGUACGUACGCAAGUAUGAAACUUAAAGGAAUUGGCGGGGGAGCACCGCAACCUGAGGAUUGUGCGGUUUAAUUGGAUUCAACGCCGGG